rnacentral:ncRNA from 1 species
UGUUAUCGUAAUAGUAAUUCAACUUAGUACGAGAGGAACCGUUGAUUCAGAUAAUUGGUAUUUGCGACUGUCCGAUCGGGCAAUGUCGCGAAGCUAUCAUCUGCUGGAUUAUGGCUGAACGCCUCUAAGCCAGAAUCCGUGCUAGAAACGAUGAUGUUGGUCCCGCACAUUU